rnacentral:rRNA from 1 species
CACCUCCCACCCGUGUCUAUCGUACCUUGUUGCUUCGGCGGGCCCGCCGUUUCGACGGCCGCCGGGGAGGCCUUGCGCCCCCGGGCCCGCGCCCGCCGAAGACCCCAACAUGAACGCUGUUCUGAAAGUAUGCAGUCUGAGUUGAUUAUCGUAAUCAGUUAAAACUUUCAACAACGGAUCUCUUGGUUCCGGCAUCGAUGAAGAACGCAGCGAAAUGCGAUAAGUAAUGUGAAUUGCAGAAUUCAGUGAAUCAUCGAGUCUUUGAACGCACAUUGCGCCCCCUGGUAUUCCGGGGGGCAUGCCUGUCCGAGCGUCAUUGCUGCCCUCAAGCACGGCUUGUGUGUUGGGCCCCCGUCCCCCUCUCCCGGGGGACGGGCCCGAAAGGCAGCGGCGGCACCGCGUCCGGUCCUCGAGCGUAUGGGGCUUUGUCACCUGCUCUGUAGGCCCGGCCGGCGCCAGCCGACACCCAACUUUAUUUUUCUAAGGUUGACCUCGGAUCAGGUAGGGAUACCCGCUGAACUUAAGCAUAUCAAUA